AGAGUUUGAUCCUGGCUCAGAUUGAACGCUGGCGGCAUGCCUUACACAUGCAAGUCGAACGCGAAAGGGGGCAACCCCGAGUAGAGUGGCGAACGGGUGAGUAAUGCAUCGGAACAUUUCCUGUAGCGGGGGACAACCUCGAGAAAUCGAGGCUAAUACCGCAUACGAUCUACGGAUGAAAGUGGGGGACCGCAAGGCCUCACACUAUAGGAGUGGCCGAUGCCGGAUUAGCUAGUUGGCGGGGUAAAAGCCCACCAAGGCGACGAUCCGUAGCUGGUCUGAGAGGACGACCAGCCACACUGGGACUGAGACACGGCCCAGACUCCUACGGGAGGCAGCAGUGGGGAAUUUUGGACAAUGGGCGCAAGCCUGAUCCAGCCAUGCCGCGUGAGUGAAGAAGGCCUUCGGGUUGUAAAGCUCUUUCGGCCGGGACGAAAUCGCGCGGGCGAAUAUCCCGCGUGGAUGACGGUACCGGAAGAAGAAGGACCGGCUAACUACGUGCCAGCAGCCGCGGUAAUACGUAGGGUCCGAGCGUUAAUCGGAAUUACUGGGCGUAAAGCGUGCGCAGGCGGUUCGCAAAGACAGGUGUGAAAUCCCCGGGCUUAACCUGGGAACUGCGCUUGUAACUAGCGGGCUGGAGUGCGGCAGAGGGGGGUGGAAUUCCACGUGUAGCAGUGAAAUGCGUAGAGAUGUGGAGGAACACCGAUGGCGAAGGCAGCCCCCUGGGCUAGCACUGACGCUCAUGCACAAAAGCGUGGGGAGCAAACAGGAUUAGAUACCCCCGUAGUCC
rnacentral:rRNA from 1 species